AGAAGUGAGAUUGGGCAGAAAUGGUGUAGAGGAAAUCAAACGUCAUCUCUUCUUCAAAAAUGAUCAGUGGGCUUGGGAAACGCUCCGAGACAGUAAGUUCUUUUUCCCUGGACAUUCUAGAGUAUUUGAAAGUUGUUAUAGUAAGUUUGUCUUUCAAAAUAUUUAUGUACAAUUGAUGAAAUUCCCUAAACUAGUUAAAAAGAACAGUUGAGGGGCUGGGGAUUUAGCUCAGUGGUAGAGCGCUUACCUAGGAAGCGCAAGGCCCUGGGUUCGGUCCCCAGCUCCGAAAAAAAAAAGAACCAAAAAAAAAAAAAAAAAA
rnacentral:lncRNA from 1 species